rnacentral:rRNA from 1 species
GUGAGUAGUUCUAGAGUUUGUAGUACCUGGCUCAGGAUAAACGACUGGCGGCGCACAUAAGACAUGCAAGUCGAACGGAAGUCGUUGUAAUGAUAUUGACAUGGACAGAGAACUUGUUCGAAGAAAAUGAAAAUUGACUUACAACAAUGGCUUUAGUGGCGGACUGGUGAGUAACGCGUGAGCAACCUGCCUGUUAGAGGGGAAUAACAGUGAGAAAUCAUUGCUAAUACCGCAUAUGCCAUAGAAGUCACAUGAUUUUAGUGGGAAAGGAGCGAUCCGCUAACAGAUGGGCUCGCGUCUGAUUAGAUAGUUGGUGGGGUAACGGCCUACCAAGUCGACGAUCAGUAGCCGGACUGAGAGGUUGAACGGCCACAUUGGGACUGAGAUACGGCCCAG